rnacentral:rRNA from 1 species
AACGUAGGAGACAAACGUUAUCCGGAGUUACUGGGCGUAAAGGGCGUGUAGGCGGUUUGUUAAGUCUGGCGUGAAAGCUCUCGGCUAAACCGGGAGAGGUCGUUGGAUACUGGCAAACUAGAGGACGGUAGAGGCGUGUGGAAUUCCGGGUGUAGUGGUGGAAUGCGUAGAGAUCCGGAGGAACACCAGCGGCGAAGGCGGCGUCCUGGACUGGUACUGACGCUCAGGAGCGAAAGCGUGGGGAGCGAUCCGG